CCUACGGGUGGCAGCAGUGGGGAAUAUUGGACAAUGGGCGAAAGCCUGAUCCAGCCAUGCCGCGUGUGUGAAGAAGGCCUUCGGGUUGUAAAGCACUUUCAGUGGGGAAGAAAGCCUUGGGGCUAAUACCCUCGAGGAAGGACAUCACCCACAGAAGAAGCACCGGCUAACUCCGUGCCAGCAGCCGCGGUAAUACGGAGGGUGCGAGCGUUAAUCGGAAUUACUGGGCGUAAAGCGCGCGUAGGCGGUCUGAUAAGCCGGUUGUGAAAGCCCCGGGCUCAACCUGGGAACGGCAUCCGGAACUGUCAGGCUAGAGGGCAGGAGAGGAAGGUAGAAUUCCCGGUGUAGCGGUGAAAUGCGUAGAGAUCGGGAGGAAUACCAGUGGCGAAGGCGGCCUUCUGGACUGACACUGACGCGGAGGUGCGAAAGCGUGGGUAGCAAACAGGAUUAGAUCCCUAGUAGUC
rnacentral:rRNA from 1 species